ensembl:antisense Gm16587 predicted gene 16587
GCCUUCUUCUGGAACUGGUUAAGUGAGUGCACUUUCAUGGAGGGAUUCUUCAUAACUGUUUGGCACAUCUCACCCUUCAGCAAGAAAUCACCCAUUGCUACCACCAGGAGAUUGUGCACAGGAGUAUUGAAGAAACACACUCAGUGCAAUGGUGGCUUUGUGUGGAGAUCGAUAAGAGGAGGGCACAGGACAUUGCCAGCUGUGAGCAGUUGUACCUUGGCAGGUUGGCAUGGCAUCUGACCAGUGACCGUCCUCUCGGCAGGUUGCUCUCACAGAGCCGUUCAGUGACUGCCCCUCUGGGCACUGGAAGGUGCAGGUUGAUCCAUAGCUAAAGUUUCCCCAGGGAUUGGAACAGUUCAUUGCUACUGCUGUGUCCAUGUGCAAUUCGGAGCAUUUGACCGCUGUGAGGGAGAAUGAAGAAUGUGUGAGAAGCAGGUGUGCUGAAGGGAGCAUUGUGGUUUGCUUUGAACCCGACUGGAAUUGUCAAUCGAUGGACUGGAUGCAAAAUGUCACGAUGGAGGUCAGUCAUACCCAAGAGUCACACACAGCAGCUCCUAAAAUAACACCUUGCUGAAGCCUCCACUGGAAUAAUACUAGCCUGAGAACAAGGAUGGCCCAUGGAAUCACAUAACAAUGCACUCGUCUUGUUUCCAAAAAGUCUCCUUACAAAAUUUGCCCUUCGCAAACACUAUCGAAUCUGUAUGUAUCUAUGUGUUAUUAUUGAUGUGUUGUGAGUAAUAGCGAUGCCAGCAUGUGAUUGACAAAAUACUUAUUUAGCGUUCCCCACAGCUGGACACUAGAAGUUUGGAAGAAGGAGAAGCCACGAUUCUCUUUAAACCAUUAAAAAAAAAAUAACUUCAGAG